GGCAGUUGGGGGCGAAAAGUAUCUAAUGAGCAAAAAAAAAAAAAAAAAAAGUUGGAAGCAGACAGCUGGAAGACAUGCCUAUAGAAUUCCCCAAAUAAAAACUCUAGAGAGCUUUGGCAGCUUUUCACAGAAUUGCCACAGGGUCUCCGAAAAGCCAACAAGGAGGUAGAGAUGGCUAUGGUGAUGGUGAUCAUAACCAUUGAGCUGAUAACAGUGGUCCUUCAUGAUGGUGGUGACUGUGAUGUUAGUGACGGUAGCCAUGGUGGUGAUGGAGAAGAUGAUAUGCUGAUGGUGAGGGUGAUAGUGGGGACAGUGAUGUCAUGAUCUAAGUUGUUAUGUGGGUCAUAAGGGUCAUAAAGGUGGUGAUGGUGAUGAUAGUAUUGUUGUUAUUUUUAGUGGUGGUGGUGUUGAAAAGGGGAAGAAAUCAAGACCUAUAGGACUUGAUUACAGAGAAAGGAAAAGAAAAAAAGAUCUAUAAAGUAGGGAUAAUACAAUUUUUUAUUGCCCAGCUCCAUUAUAAAGACUCAUAGGAGAAAGGAAGCAUAACAUUUUUUAACUUGAGCCCCUGCUUUCAGAAUUCAAUCUGAUAAUUUUGGAUUCAGGAAAGACUCCAGGUUUUUUAUUUAGGAAGUGAUAUUAAUGGCUUAUUGGGUUUGAAAGUCAAGUGUUCCCAUCCACCUUCACUCUUGAUGGAAAAGGUCAGGGCUUCCUUAUUGAACAACUUCAGGGAGCGUUAUUCACUCAUAAGUGUUAAUGAUAUUCCUAACGGAGUUUAAUGCCCAGACUGAAGCUGUGCUUAAGACCUUGGCAUAACAGAGUAGGCUGUGCUGGUCUGAGAAACAGGCUGAACUCUGAAUUCAAGAAAGAGCUAAGAAGGCAGAAAGUUCUCUGAAGGGAAAGAACUGUGCCAACAACAGGAAGACAGUCUGGGCCUAGGGCUGUACAGACUCAGCAAGACAUUCCCAGCAGUGGGCAGUACGUGAAUUUAGAGAGGGAACUGUGAUAUCUAAAUUUUAAGUUGCUUACUGUUCUGAACUGUAUUUACCCUGUGUUAUUCCAAAGUCAUAAGUCUUACAACAGCCCUGAGUCUUAAAAAAUGCUGGAAAGGAGGCUAUGCCCACUCUUGGGGACAUGUGGAGAAGGAACAGGACAGAAGCCUGCAGGUGAUGGACAUCUGAACCAGGAGAGAAGCAUCAAGCAACCAGCAGGAAAAUGAAACUAUCCCGAAUUUAAGCACCCUUUGUAGAAAUUCAGGGAUGUAUGCUGGUCUUCCCAUAAAUAAGUGAGAUGAGAGGGAUUGAGUUAUUCUAUUGGGAUAAUCAAGAAAAGGGUGACCCUAGAAGACUGGAGAAUGUGGAGAUAUUUAGCUUCCUCACAUCUGCCUGUGAACGCAGGGGAUAGGUAUGAAAAUGGCCAGUGAGAUGAAGGCGAGGCGGUGGGGACCUUUCCGGUGUCUAACACUAGCCAACUUCCGGAUGGGUGUCAACGUGAUGGCUGCCUCUAAGGAUGAAGGUCAAGGAGUACAGAGACGAACCAAUGGAAGAAGAAACAGGGCUUGUGGCUCUUGGAAAGACUUUCCAAUCACCACCCAGGCACCACGUUACCACACUACAUUUUUAUUAUUUAUUUAGACCUAUAUCUUUACCACUAGACUGUGAGCUCCUGGAGGGGAUCUUUGUAUCUUCAGUACCUUUGUAUGAUGAACCCUCGAUCAGUAAUGUUUGUUGAGUGUGUGCAGAGGUGCAGAAGAAUUCCCAUUCUUAAGGAAUAAGGUGGAGAUUAGCUAAGAUAAGACAGGGAUAUAAAAAUAUAAGGCAGCUUAUGUCCCCAAACUGUCACUGUGCAUCACGGACCCACCCUAAGUGAUGGAGGGAGGAAAUGACUAUGACUCAGCAGACUGGGAUAUUUCACCACCAUCAGACGUGUUACAGAGGAGGUGGCAGGUAAGGCCCCAGGAAUUGUAAUUGUGUUUUUUAUUCACAGAUAACCAGAGUGGCAAUAAUUUAGUUGAUUGGGUCAACACAGACUGCAGGACUGGAAAAGUCUGAUAAAACACAAUCUACUUAAUGCCCAAUUAUGUGGUUUGUUUGCAUUUAUUGAACUGGAAAAUACCAAAUCCCUUUUCACUUGGCAGCGCAUGAAUAUUGCCUGCCAUACUAAGUGCAAAUCUUAGGCCAUAUCAAGAUAUCAGCCAGCUGACGAUGGAUUGCCCUUAAGCAGGCAUGACCUCCCCUGAAGACAAAGGUUAAUCCUAUUUUCUGUAUUUCAUAUGUUUGUACGGGUGUCAGUUUAUAAUGUCUCGAGUGUUGUUAAAUCUGGAUAGUGUUUGUCGAUUAACAUUCCUUUGGUCACAUUAAGCUUUGUAGGCUCUGAUGUAUAGGUUUGCAUUCUUGCUCUCUCUCUCUCUCUCCCCCUUUCUCAGCUCAGCUCUUGGAAAAUUCCUGCUGAACCAACAUAUUCACUUCUCUUUGGGACAGGGAAAUGGACCACAUAAUUUGAAACACAGUGAAUAAACAGAAGUGUGAGCAGAAUGCAAAAGCAGGAAAUUAAUGUUACUUUUCAAAUAGCAGAGGACUCUGCUUGGUGGAGAAAACCUUGAAUCCUAGCCCCAGCUUUUCUGAUAGCUUCAUCCAAGUUCCUUAACUCUUCUAGCCCUCGGUUUCCUCAUCUCUACAAUGAGUGGGUCAGAUCUCUACUGCCCCUUCCAACUCUGAUUCUAAGACAAAUUAUGGAAUAGUAAAUCUAUAGCUUGAACCAUUGAUACUAAAGACCUUGACCUUAGAGACAGAGUAUGCUUCAUACAGAAAGUCAACCAAUACUAGGCUGAGUGACUCCAAAGAGGGAUCUCAAAAAUAGAAGGUAGAAAUACAAGUCCAACUCCAAGAUUAUUUAUACUUGUCACACCAAGCUCCACCGGACUGUCCAACAUAUUUGCUGCCUGUACUAGAGCAACCCCCCCCCCCCCCCGGGACAGAGUCAAGUCCAGUUGUGAUUUCCAGAGUCCUGUCUGAAUUAUUCUGUCUCUCUCAGGUUCCUCUCUCUCCACCUCCACUAGCCAGGGCCCAGCCCUCUCCCUCCUUCUCCAAGAACAACAGAGGGUGUGUGACCUCAAGGGCCACAGAAGCCUUCCCUGAAACCUGACCUUGAGGACAAGGGACCCUGACCUGGAGGUGGCCCAGCCCUCGUCAGUAGCCCACUUUUUUAAAAAUUAUUUUUAUUGAUUUCAGAGAGGAAGAGAGAGGUGGAGAGAGAUAGAAACAUCAAUGAUGAGAGAGAACCAUUGAUGGGCUGCCUCCUGCAUGCCCCACACUGGGGAUCAAGCCCACAACCCAGGCAGAUGCCCCAACUGGGAAUGGAACCCUGACCUCCUGGUUCACAGGUCAACAGUUAAUUAUGGAGCCAUGUUGGCUGGGCAACGACGCACUUUUUAAUAACUUCCUCCCCUGUGAUCAGGUGCUGUUGGCACAGAUAACAGGCCUGCCGCCUGGUAAGGCUCCUGGGAUCCGGACUCUGGCUUUCUCUGCUGGGCUCACGCUGCCGUGUAAGACCAACAGCCUAGCAAGUGUCCAAGACACCUUUCAUCUGAACCCGCUUCACAGAGGGGUAGACUCUGCCAAGAACUGAUGACAUUCCCUUCUCGGAUGAUAGGCUCAAAGCUGCUAUCCACGCGCUGACCGCUGAGGGCGAGCGGUUUCUCUUGGCUCCUCCUCUGUAGGGUUGUGCUCUCUGACUCAGCUUCACACGCAGCUGUUCUCUGGGGUGUUGUUACCAUGGCUUCUUUCUAAUGAGCCAUUUGUCCUUCCUGCAGCCCCAUUGGCAUCAAACCGCAGGCCGCUCCCCAGGCUCUGCCCCUGCCAGAGUCUCACAGCCACCUUGAUGCUGAUGGAAAUUUUGCCUCCAAGCGAAUUAAUUCCUCACGAUUCCACUGGAUCCAUAUUUAAUGCAUUUUUUAAAAAUAGAUACUGAAUGUCAUUUCCACAGCUAUUUCGGGUUAUUGACAGCAAUUUUUCUUUCAAAUAAAACUUUUAUAUGCACAAAUGA